rnacentral:rRNA from 1 species
AGUAACGCGUAGGUAACCUACCUUGUAGCGGGGGAUAACUAUUGGAAACGAUAGCUAAUACCGCAUAACAAUGGAUGACACAUGUCAUUUAUUCGAAAGGGGCAAUUGCUCCACUACAAGAUGGACCUGCGUUGUAUUAGCUAGUAGGUGAGGUAAUGGCUCACCUAGGCGACGAUACAUAGCCGACCUGAGAGGGUGAUCGGCCACACUGGGACUGAGACACGGCCCAGACUCCUACGGGAGGCAGCAUG